GGUUAAGUGAAUAAGGGCGCACGGUGGAUGCCUUGGCACUAGGAGCCGAUGAAGGACGGGACUAACACCGAUAUGCUUUGGGGAGCUGUAAGUAAGCUAUGAUCCAGAGAUUUCCGAAUGGGGGAACCCAAUAUCUUUUAUAGGAUAUUACUUUUCAGUGAAUACAUAGCUGAUUAGAGGUAGACGCAGAGAACUGAAACAUCUUAGUACCUGCAGGAAGAGAAAGAAAAUUCGAUUCCCUGAGUAGCGGCGAGCGAAACGGGAAGAGCCCAAACCAACAAGCUUGCUUGUUGGGGUUGUAGGACUCCAAUAUGGUAGUCUGUUAGUAUAGUUGAAGGAUUUGGAAAAUUCCGCUAAAGAGGGUGAAAGCCCCGUAGACGAAAUGCUAACAACACCUAGGAGGAUCCUGAGUACGGCGGAACACGAGAAAUUCCGUCGGAAUCCGCGGGGACCAUCCCGCAAGGCUAAAUACUCCCUAGUGACCGAUAGUGAACCAGUACCGUGAGGGAAAGGUGAAAAGCACCCCGGAAGGGGAGUGAAAUAGAUCCUGAAACCGUGUGCCUACAACAAGUCAAAGCUCGUUAAUGAGUGAUGGCGUGCCUUUUGUAGAAUGAACCGGCGAGUUACGAUUGCAUGCGAGGUUAAGUCGAAGAGACGGAGCCGCAGCGAAAGCGAGUCUGAAUAGGGCGAAUGAGUAUGUAGUCGUAGACCCGAAACCAUGUGAUCUACCCAUGUCCAGGUUGAAGGUGCGGUAAAACGCACUGGAGGACCGAACCCACGUACGUUGAAAAGUGCGGGGAUGAGGUGUGGGUAGCGGAGAAAUUCCAAACGAACUUGGAGAUAGCUGGUUCUCUCCGAAAUAGCUUUAGGGCUAGCCUCGGAAUUGAGAAUGAUGGAGGUAGAGCACUGUUUGGACUAGGGGCCCAUCUCGGGUUACCGAAUUCAGAUAAACUCCGAAUGCCAUUCAUUUAUAUCCGGGAGUCAGACUGCGAGUGAUAAGAUCCGUAGUCGAAAGGGAAACAGCCCAGACCACCAGCUAAGGUCCCAAAAUAUAUGUUAAGUGGAAAAGGAUGUGGGGUUGCACAGACAACUAGGAUGUUGGCUUAGAAGCAGCCACCAUUUAAAGAGUGCGUAAUAGCUCACUAGUCGAGUGACCCUGCGCCGAAAAUGUACCGGGGCUAAACAUAUUACCGAAGCUGUGGACUACACCAUUAGGUGUAGUGGUAGGAGAGCGUUCUAAGGGCGUUGAAGGUCGAUCGUGAGGACGGCUGGAGCGCUUAGAAGUGAGAAUGCCGGUAUGAGUAGCGAAAGACAGGUGAGAAUCCUGUCCACCGUAUGACUAAGGUUUCCUGGGGAAGGCUCGUCCGCCCAGGGUUAGUCGGGACCUAAGCCGAGGCCGAUAGGCGUAGGCGAUGGACAACAGGUUGAUAUUCCU
rnacentral:rRNA from 1 species